rnacentral:rRNA from 1 species
GUCCACGCCGUAAACGAUGAGAACUUGACGUCGGUUUGCUCUGCGAAUCGGUGUCGUAGCUAACGCGAUAAGUUCUCCGCCUGGGGAGUACGGCCGCAAGGUUGAAACUCAAAGGAAUUGACGGGGGCCCCGCACAAGCGGUGGAGUAUGUGGUUUAAUUCGAUGCAACGCGAAGAACCUUACCUGGUCUUGACAUCUAUGGAAGUCUGCAGAGAUGCGGAUGUGCCUUCGGGAACCAUAAGACAGGUGCUGCAUGGCUGUCGU